AGAACUGAUCUGCACGGCAGCGUCCCACCCAGCGGUGCCCUGCAUAAGUGACCCAUGCAGCUGCAAAUGGCACAGCCGUACCCUGUGCAUCAGUGACACACAGCGACCCACACAGCUGUCCCAGAGUGUCCCUAUCCACCUCCACGACAGCCUGGCGGGUGUGGGCAGCCUGGGGCCACCGGACAUGAUUUAUUGCUCUGUUUCCAGAACAAACAAAAGAAGCUGUAUUUGCAGGUGCACAAGGAAAGCAGGACGGAUCCUCAAGUAACUUCCUAAACAUGAAGAUUUGGAUUCCGGUUUCCAGUUAUCUCCGGUCCUAAGAGGUUUUCAAGAUUAAUGGGACCUGAUCAUUGCAGCCAAAAACCAAAUCCCAAAAUGAUGUCGAGAACAAUGCUCCCCAGAAGUCGCUCACAAGGAGGCAUGCCGAGUACCUGGCUGUGUUUGCAGAAGAGCAUUUGCAGCAUAUCCAGUGAUGCAUAAAGCGAUGAGUUUUCUAACUCCUGGUCCUGGGAAGUCAGCCUGUUAUUCAGACAACCUGUCUUGGUUCUUCAGGCCAAAUAGGACCCUUGUGCUUUCAAAGGCUUUGCUCAGAUGUGAAGGCAUUCUAUUCAUGAUUUGUGAGGAACACAAUUCACUUGAUGACUGUUUGUUAGCUUUCUCCCUGCAGAGCUUAACAGGUUAUGGGUCCCUGAAAUAUUCCAUUAGAUGCACAGACCUCUGCAUAAAACUCACAAUAUCUAGCAUACAAAAAUUUACUUUUCCUAAUCAUCUUAGAAGCAGCCCAUAGAAGAGUCACACAGUUCACAAGCUGAUGACCACCAAAGUGAAGAAUUGCUUUCAGGAAGAAAUCAGGCAUUGGUUUAGAGACUGGAAAAAAUGGAGAAGUCAUCGGAGCCUACAGUAACCCAAACAGCCAUGUUUUCACACGUGUUCAGCUGUGUUUUAAGCCUCCCACCCCUGGAUCCUGCCAGUAGCGUAACUACCAAACCUGCUGUAAUCCGCUAGUGACCUUUAGCCAGAGUGGGACAGGGCUGGAUGACAAAGAGGAGGGGAUGAACCCUGAUGCUUGGCUUGAUUGGAAGGUCUGUCUUAGGCCCACCAUGGCCCACUCUGGUCUUUCAACGCCUUGGGAUUUGAGUACACUCUUCCACCUGCAAGUGCCAGGGUCAGGACCUAAAAGUCCUCAGGAGAUGUGUAGGUACCUCUGCAGGGCAGGGAAGCUCAGAAGUAUGCAGUUAGUGCACUUGUUAUCACUUUCUUCUUGUGUUCAAAUCUGUCUUGAUAGCAAUAUUCUUUGACUAAGCUACCAUAGAACCACAAUAUGUGCAUGUGGUAGAAAAUGAGCCUCAUCACAUAAAGCCAAGAAACCAAUUAACCUUGCAGACUUAUAUCAACUGGAGGAUCUAGUCUGGGGAGAUCGCUCCACUGCCACCAUGACCUUCAAGGCUUCUCUCAGAAGACUCUCUUCAGGUGCCCUCAGGACUGCAUCACCCGCCAAACAUGACUUGCUUCUCCCUCCUACCACCUUCUCCACUCUGCUGCUUCUGCCUGCAGCGUGGCUGGGCACUGCCCAGUGCCCCUUUGCACUCACUGCACCUGCAGCACGUGAGGGGUUUGGGACACAUGGGGGCAGGCAGGCAGCUGAAUUGGGAGAAAUUUUCUGCAGAGACCCUGAAUGGCUUAUGACCUGGUAAACUCUCACCUCCAGCUUUGAAGGCUCUCCUUGCAGAGGUGUUUUCAAAUAUUAUUAAAGAGGUUUGGAGGAGCCUUCUUCCCAGAUGGCAGCUGCAAGUAGUGAAGGAGUGAGAGUGACAACUGGGGUCAAGCAGUGAGAAAUAAUCUUUUCUUCUGAGGUGUUGAGUUUGCUCCAGUUCAGACUCUGUACCCAGGAUAGAUGCAACUCUUUUUAUUGCUGCUUGAGUAGUACCUGGCUUGGUGUACAUGCAGCCUGGACACGUCUUUGUUACCUAAAACAGAGAUUACCCAGAGUUUACAGAAUGUUCAUAAAGUAUUGAACAGUGCUAAAGAGCACAAACAGUUUAUGCAGCCUGAGACAAAUUCUCUCCAACACAAAUUUACUAUUGUGCCCUUUUAAAAACUUUUGUUCUAAAUAGCACACAACUGCAGAUUGUAAUUUGGAUGUGAAUGGGUGACACUUCAUUUCCUUCAAGGAUACUUCAGAUGGGUUCUAAGAUGGUAGUAACUAACUCCUAGACUCUCCCAGUACAUUUGGUUUCCAUUCCCACCCAGGUUUCCAUGAGGCUUUGGGUAGGACAGAUCAUAUUCCUGAAUAACUACAAGGUAUUUUGGGGCCAUUUUAAUGAGCUAAACCUUUAGAUUACCCUUAAGAAUCAAUUAACAAUUUACUACCACCACAUGGUUGGAAGAAAGAGGCAAUAAAUGUGACUAGGCUUUACAUUUUGUUGGGGUGGAUGGAUGGCAAAGGCAGAUGCAGCCCUGAAUGCAACAGGAGCCAGCUCAGCUUUGCCUGUAGCAAAUGAAGUAGAACAGCCGUCUCAUCAGCCAGUGCCAACAAGUACAAGGGCCAUUUCCCCCCAGGGAAACCCUCUUACCCACAGGCCUCAAUAUCUCUGUGUUUAAAUGUAUGUGUGAUAAGUGUAACUGCAUAAUAUGAAAAAGAGAAUUAAUUUUAAGGCUACAUUGUGUCUUGAUUUGUUUAUAUCUUUCUCUCAAAUGCCUUGUUUUGCUAUCUAGCUUGAAGAUGUGAGUACUUCAGCUGUAUUUCUGUCUCUUUCUGGAUUCCCAUAUUGGCUUAGUUACAAAGCAGAGGUCUCCAGUGCAGAGGAUACCCACAGUUAGGCCUCUCGGUCUGAAGCAUGUUUAUCAAUUCCUUGUGCAAUUAUCUGCACAUUAAUUUGAUUGUAGACCAGCACAGCAUGUCUACAAGUUUGAUGUUGAAAUUCUUUACCUUAGUUUUCUGUUCAGCUGAAGAUGUAACACAUCCAUAGAGAGCAAAACUAGAUAUAUCACACUUAGUGUGUGGAGAAGCUUAUAUUUCAGAAAUAAGAGCAAUUACUUUUCACAUGGGAUCACAUUCUGGUUUUAUCCACAACUCGUGAAACUCACAGAACCAUCCUCCUGCUUCACUGAAUGUAUUACAAUGCAGCAUGGGCCAUGAGCAAUCUGACAGUGGACUAAUUCAACCAAAGAAUUAAAAUUUGCAAGUUUUUAUACACAUUAACUACAAUAGCUCCAACAAGAGUAUAUUGGAUAGACUCUUUGGUGUGACUUUCAAAGAUCCUGAACACCUACACUAAUCAGGCCAUCCAUUCAUAGCUAUGCUUUCUGGCAGACAGCAUCAUUCCUGGAGAGAUCUUUUUGUUCAUCCAAGGCAUUCAAAAAUGCUGUAAUCACUCAUAUGGAAAAUUAAAAUAAAAAAAAGGCCUACACCCAUUUUGAAUGCCUUCAGAUUUAUAGCAUUAGGAAAAGAUUUGACAGCAUCAAGUGUUUAAUCUGCAAAGGGAUUACAGUUACCUUCACAGCAUACACACAUCAUUAAUACUAAUGGGAACUGCACCUCCAAGGCUCACCCUAAAAUGCUGGCUGUAAAUAACAUCCCAGUAGGAUAAUUAAAAGUCUGGCAGAAAUUCAGCAAGUUCCACAAACAUUUUCUGCCAGGAUAAGAGGUCAGAGAAUUUGGAAUUGAAAAAAAUAAUCAGCAGUUUGCCUGAGGUGGGUAGUGCAUCAGUUUUACAAACAAGCUCACACACAAAAGCUUUUUCCAACUUAGGUAUAAUUUUAGUUGGUAUAUUUUGUUCUAUGUUUCUUAGCCUACUUGUUUUUCCCCUCAUUUCUGUAAUCCUACUUGACCUGAAGUUCAACGCUAGGCUAUGUUUGCAAUCAUUAUUGUAUCAGGAUUGCUAGUUCCCAUUUUUAUUUCUCCCAUGCUAACUACUGGAAAAAGAAUACCAAAACUGUUAGCAGAAUUACAUCUUUUUUUCCUCUUCUAUUUAUUUCUGUUCAAGCUUAACAGAAAUCCAUGUUUCAUCACUGGAGUGCAACUGCUGGAAAAGAGUAUGUCUUUUUCCAAAAUUAACUCUUAUCUUCUAGAAUUAUGAGGGCACCAAUAAAUAAGUACAACAAAACUGAUCCAUCUCAUUUUCUUAUUUUACAAAGACUGAUAAUGAAG